rnacentral:SRP_RNA from 1 species
CUGUACUAGAUGGGGAGGUAGCGGCACCCUGUAACCUGCAAUCCGCUAUAGCAGGGUUGAACUCCAUCUGGAGGAUUUUUUAUUCAAAGUGCAGUCCCGGAGAAGUGGUGUUGACGUUCAGGUCCCGGGCAACGGAAGCUCGUGAAGCGUGUCAGAUCCGGAAGGAAGCAGCACUAAGCGAUCACUUCUGUGUGACCCGGGGAAGCCUGGGCAGAGCUAACUGACCGGUAAACGGCUUUGAAUCCAGAUUCGAAGGAUGGUGUGCAG